UACGGAGGGUGCGAGCGUUGUCCGGAAUCAUUGGGCGUAAAGGGCGCGUAGGUGGCCCGGUCAGUCCGUGGUGAAAGCGCGGGGCUCAACCCCGCGUCGGCCAUGGAUACUGCUGGGCUGGAGCACUGUAGAGGCAGGCGGAAUUCCGGGUGUAGCGGUGGAAUGCGUAGAGAUCCGGAAGAACACCGGUGGCGAAGGCGGCCUGCUGGGCGAGUGCUGACACUGAGGCGCGACAGCGUGGGGAGCAAACAGGG
rnacentral:rRNA from 1 species